UUCGUAGGCGGUUAUUUAAGUCAGGUGUGAAAGGCAUAGGCUCAACCUGUGUAAGCACUUGAAACUGAAUGACUUGAGUUAAGGAGAGGAAAGUGGAAUUCCUAGUGUAGCGGUGAAAUGCGUAGAUAUUAGGAGGAAUACCAGUAGCGAAGGCGACUUUCUGGACUUAUACUGACGCUGAGGAACGAAAGCGUGGGGAGCAAACA
rnacentral:rRNA from 1 species